rnacentral:RNase_P_RNA from 1 species
UCAGAAGAUCGGAUGGUCGCUCCGCAAGGGGAGGAAAGUCCGGGCUUCAUGGAAAUACAGCGCCGGGUAACGCCCGGGCGGCGCAAGCCGACAGACAGUGCAACAGAAAGCAAACCGCCUGCUUGCAGGUAAGGGUGAAAGGGUGGGGUAAGAGCCCACCGCGUUCGUGGUAACAGGAACGGCACGGUAAACCUCGCUGGAAGCAAGACCAAAUAGGGACUGCAGGUUAUUGACUUAACAGGCGCAUUUUCACGCCGCAGUCCGGGUAGGUCGCUCGAGGUGUCUGGUAACAGACAUCCCAGAUGAAUGGCCGUCCCUCGCAAGAGGACAGAACCCGGCUUACAGAUCCUCUGAUGUA